UGAACGCUGGCGGCAGGCCUAACACAUGCAAGUCGAACGGUAACAGGAAGCAGCUUGCUGCUUUGCUGACGAGUGGCGGACGGGUGAGUAAUGUCUGGGAAACUGCCUGAUGGAGGGGGAUAACUACUGGAAACGGUAGCUAAUACCGCAUAACGUCGCAAGACCAAAGAGGGGGACCUUCGGGCCUCUUGCCAUCGGAUGUGCCCAGAUGGGAUUAGCUAGUAGGUGGGGUAACGGCUCACCUAGGCGACGAUCCCUAGCUGGUCUGAGAGGAUGACCAGCCACACUGGAACUGAGACACGGUCCAGACUCCUACGGGAGGCAGCAGUGGGGAAUAUUGCACAAUGGGCGCAAGCCUGAUGCAGCCAUGCCGCGUGUAUGAAGAAGGCCUUCGGGUUGUAAAGUACUUUCAGCGGGGAGGAAGGUGUUGAGGUUAAUAACCUCAGCAAUUGACGUUACCCGCAGAAGAAGCACCGGCUAACUCCGUGCCAGCAGCCGCGGUAAUACGGAGGGUGCAAGCGUUAAUCGGAAUUACUGGGCGUAAAGCGCACGCAGGCGGUCUGUCAAGUCGGAUGUGAAAUCCCCGGGCUCAACCUGGGAACUGCAUUCGAAACUGGCAGGCUAGAGUCUUGUAGAGGGGGGUAGAAUUCCAGGUGUAGCGGUGAAAUGCGUAGAGAUCUGGAGGAAUACCGGUGGCGAAGGCGGCCCCCUGGACAAAGACUGACGCUCAGGUGCGAAAGCGUGGGGAGCAAACAGGAUUAGAUACCCUGGUAGUCCACGCCGUAAACGAUGUCGACUUGGAGGUUGUGCCCUUGAGGCGUGGCUUCCGGAGCUAACGCGUUAAGUCGACCGCCUGGGGAGUACGGCCGCAAGGUUAAAACUCAAAUGAAUUGACGGGGGCCCGCACAAGCGGUGGAGCAUGUGGUUUAAUUCGAUGCAACGCGAAGAACCUUACCUACUCUUGACAUCCAGAGAACUUUCCAGAGAUGGAUUGGUGCCUUCGGGAACUCUGAGACAGGUGCUGCAUGGCUGUCGUCAGCUCGUGUUGUGAAAUGUUGGGUUAAGUCCCGCAACGAGCGCAACCCUUAUCCUUUGUUGCCAGCGGUUAGGCCGGGAACUCAAAGGAGACUGCCAGUGAUAAACUGGAGGAAGGUGGGGAUGACGCCAAGUCAUCAUGGCCCUUACGAGUAGGGCUACACACGUGCUACAAUGGCGCAUACAAAGAGAAGCGACCUCGCGAGAGCAAGCGGACCUCAUAAAGUGCGUCGUAGUCCGGAUUGGAGUCUGCAACUCGACUCCAUGAAGUCGGAAUCGCUAGUAAUCGUGGAUCAGAAUGCCACGGUGAAUACGUUCCCGGGCCUUGUACACACCGC
rnacentral:rRNA from 1 species